rnacentral:lncRNA from 1 species
GCCGACAGACCGCCGAACGGACCGGGAAUUCCCCUGUACGCGGACAGAGUCUCCCCAGUACGUCCAAGGCGUCGCAAUCCAAACAAUCAACGAAUAUUCCAACAAGUUACGGAUAUCAAUCCAGAUUGCAUAAGGAAGUAUCAAAUACAUAAACUACUUGCUAUUACAAGCAUUCAUUUCACAAUCACGUUAUACAUCACAGUUUCAGUUUAUAUUUUUACUUCCAAAUUACAAUCUCACUAUUAUAUCCGAGUUUACAAGUUUGAUACAUUUUCUUUUCUUGCCUUCUAGACCCCUAAGUUAGACUAUCUCAGGGUACGGCUACCUCGGUCUCUGUGGUGGGGCGCUAUCUACUGAGCUACGCCCUCGCCUCGCGCCGCCGCGCCGCACACGAACGACCUGAAAACCCCAAAACA